UGCUCCUGUGGCUCCUCCCACAGACCCCGUGUGGUGAACUACAUAUACCUGUCUGGACAGGCCCCCUGCUGACUGCUCCUGUGGCUCCUCCCACAGACCCCGUGUGGUGAACUACAUAUACCUGUCUGGACAGGCCCCCUGCUGACUGCUCCUGUGGCUCCUCCCACAGACCCCUGGAUAAAGGUGAUUGUGUCUCGGCUCCUCCCACAGUCAUCCAGCAUGGACGUGCUCUGUUUUACUGCUGAUAAAAGCCUUUCAGUAUUUACUCUACUUCCAGUCUUUUGGAGUUAUUGAUAGUGCAUCAAAUAUCAUCUGGCAUGGAGGGGCCACUGAACGGGCUCGGAAAAAGCUACAGAAGCAUUGUGGGGAGCCUAUGUCAGCCCCGGAAUGUGUGGCCACACUUGGGUUGUUAAUGCAAACAGAGCAACACACACAAAACGCCGGAGGAACUCAGCAGGUAUUUGUAAUCCUCCACCAUGCCCACACUGACCCCUUGGACGGAAACAGGGGUCGUCAGUGCCUUAGCCUUCCUCAGGUCCAGCACCAGCUCCUCAGCCUUGAAGCGGAUGGGCUACAGCAGCAGAAGACCAUGAAUGGACACUCAGUGGCCACUUAAUUAGGUACAGGAGGUAUGUAGUAACAUCUUUUAACCUCUUCAAGGUCAAACUAACCCUUCCUUCUACAUAGCCCUCCAUUUUUCUAUCAUCCAUGUGCUGAGGAAAGAAUAUCUUCAAUAUCCCAAAUGUAUCUGCAACCCACCUCCCCAGCAACACGAUCCUCGGACCCACCACUCCCUGUGUAACGAACUGACCUUCGUCAUCCUCGGACCCACCACUCCCUGUGUAACGAACUGACCUUCGUCACCCUCGGACCCACCACUCCCUGUGUAACGAACUGACCUUCGUCACCCUCGGACCCACCACUCCCUGUGUAACGAACUGACCUUCAUCACCCUCGGACCCACCACUCCCUGUGUAACGAACUGACCUUCGUCACCCUCGGACCCACCACUCCCUGUGUAACGAACUGACCUUCGUCACCCUCAGACCCACCACUCCCUGUGUAACAAACUGACCUUCGUCACCCUCGGACCCACCACUCCCUGUGUAACGAACUGACCUUCGUCACCCUCGGACCCACCACUCCCUGUGUAACGAACUUACCUUCAUCAUUGUCGGACCCACCACUCCCUGUGUAACGAACUGACCUUCGUCACCCUCGGACCCACCACUCCCUGUGUAACGAACUGACCUUCGUCACCCUCGGACCCACCACUCCCUGUGUAACGAACUGACCUUCAUCACCCUCGGACCCACCACUCCCUGUGUAACGAACUGACCUUCAUCACCCUCGGACCCACCACUCCCUGUGUAACGAACUGACCUUCGUCACCCUCGGACCCACCACUCCCUGUGUAACGAACUGACCUUCGUCACCCUCGGACCCACCACUCCCUGUGUAACAAACUGACCUUCAUCACCCUCGGACCCACCACUCCCUGUGUAACGAACUGACCUUCGUCACCCUCGGACCCACCACUCCCUGUGUAACGAACUGACCUUCGUCACCCUCGGACCCACCACUCCCUGUGUAACGAACUUACCUUCGUCAUCCCCCCCCCCCCGCCCCCGUUUCCUCCAAACACCUUCAAGUUAUGCCCCUCUCACAUUAGCCAUUGCCACCCUGGGAAAACGUCUCCGGCUGUCCAUUUUAUCUGCGCCUCUUAUCAUCGUGUUAACUCUAUCAAAUCUAUGGUCCUGUCUGUUUUAUGAGCCCCAAAUGUCUCACUAUUUUUCUUCAAAGGCAGCCUGGGCCAGACUCGACUUGUCAGCAGUGAUAUGUGAGCAGGAAAUUUGUGAUUAAACUUGCUGAAUUCUCUCAUUUUAAUGUCUUUGAAUAAUGUUCCAAAAUAAUGAAUGUCCUACCAUUCCUCAGUCCAUAGGAAGCCUUGCUUGACACAUCUUCCUUUAUUCUAGCUGCUCAGCCUUGGGGGAAACUCCCCCAUACAGAUUUCUGUGCCAAAUCCUGACUUAGCGUCUCUGUCGCUGUCGUUGUUGUUACAAGACAGAAGGCUUCUGACAGACAAUCAUUGUUGAACAUCUGGGUCCAGGGAAUGGAAUUCACGUGAGCUGUGUACUGAUGUAGAGGUGAAAUACUGAGAGGUUUCGCAAAAUUGCAAAACAAAAGCAACGGCUGAUGAGAUUUUGGAAUUAAAAUAGGAAAUGCUGGAAGGCAUCCAGGAAGUAAAGGCACAAAGGUGCCAGUAAUAGGCCAGAAAUAUCACAAAGGAUCCCAUUUACCCUGCCAAUGGACUGUUCAUCCCACUCCUCCACUCCCAGACUCAGAAACAGUCACUUUCCCCAAGCAGUGAGGCUGAUCAACACCUCCACCCACUGACCCACCCCUCCACUCCCAGACUCAGAAACAGUCACUUUCCCCAAGCAGUGAGACCGAUCAACACCUCCACCCACUGACCCACCCCUCCA